AAGACUUGGCCCUGUUUGGUUCCAUGGGCUAAUUAUUAGUCUCCACCUUUUAGCUAUGAAUUAGCCCCAAGGAUCUAAACAGGUGGGCUA
rnacentral:misc_RNA from 1 species